rnacentral:rRNA from 1 species
UUGGAGGGCAAGUCUGGUGCCAGCAGCCGCGGUAAUUCCAGCUCCAAUAGCGUAUAUUAAAGUUGCUGCCGUUAAAAAGCUCGUAGUUGAAUUUCGGGACCAUCAUGUCGGUCGUGCCUCGGUACGUACUGGUAGUGUUGGUUUCUCCCUUCUGACGAACCAUGAUGUCAUUUAUUUGGUGUUGUGGGGAAUCAGGACUGUUACUUUGAAAAAAUUAGAGUGUUUAAAGCAGGCUCACGCUUGAAUACAUUAGCAUGGAAUAAUGAAAUAGGACGUUUGAUUCUAUUUUGUUGGUUUCUAGGAUCGACGUAAUGAUUAAUAGGGAUAGUUGGGGGCAUUAGUAUUCAAUUGUCAGAGGUGAAAUUCUUGGACUUAUUGAAGACUAACUACUGCGAAAGCAUUUGCCAAGGAUGUUUUCAUUAAUCAAGAACGAAAGUUAGGGGAUCGAAGACGAUCAGAUACCGUCGUAGUCUUAACCAUAAACUAUGCCGACUAGGGAUCGGAUGAUGUUAAUUUUUUAAUGACUCAUUCGGCGCCUUACGGGAAACCAAAGUGUUUGGGUUC